CUACGGGAGGCAGCAGUGGGGAAUAUUGGACAAUGGGCGCAAGCCUGAUCCAGCAAUGCCGCGUGGGUGAAGACGGCCUGCGGGUUGUAAAGCCCUUUAGGCGGGGAAGAACGGCCGGGCGCGAACAGCGCGCGGCUCUGACGUUACCCGCGGAAUAAGCACCGGCUAACUCCGUGCCAGCAGCCGCGGUAAUACGGAGGGUGCGAGCGUUAAUCGGAAUUACUGGGCGUAAAGCGUGCGUAGGCGGUUCGGUCAGUCAGCCGUGAAAGCCCCGGGCUCAACCUGGGAACGGCGGUUGAGACGGCCGGACUGGAGUGGGCUAGAGGAUCGUGGAAUUCCCGGUGUAGCGGUGAAAUGCGUAGAGAUCGGGAGGAACACCGAUGGCGAAGGCAGCCCCCUGGGUCGACACUGACGCUCAUGCACGAAAGCGUGGGUAGCAAACAGGAUUAGAUACCCUGGUAGUCC
rnacentral:rRNA from 1 species